AUGAAUCUUUGCACAUAUAUUAAAAUUGGAACGAUACAGAGAAGAUUAGCAUGGCCUCUGUAAAGGAUGACACACAUUUUAAGACAUAAAUCUAACUUACAU